GCCCUUGAGGAAUUAGGUUUAGAUGGUUUAAUAAGGAUGGGGAAGCAGCUAAAGAAAAGAAAGAAGAGGACGCGUGAAAGAAGAAGAAAAAGAAAGAAGAGGACGCGUGAAAGAAGAAGGAAGAGGAAAGGAAGAGAACUAGGGUUCAUCAUCAAUCACGGUACAGGUGCUAGUGGAGCAUCUCAUGAGAAGUAGACAGAGAGCUAUAUACUGUUAUUUAGAUAGUUAUCUAGUAGUAUGAGGGUCAAUUGCUCUAUAUGUAACAUUGG